rnacentral:lncRNA from 1 species
AUGGCUGUCUCGUCUGCCCUGGUUAGAGUCCCAAAUCUUCCUCAGAUGGAAUGUCCGGGCCUGGUGAUCGGAUUCUGGAAGGCUCUGCGCCCACACAGAAUGGCGGGAAGUCCAGGCCUGAGUCUGGGCUGGGGGAGGUUUGGCUUCCCCGACUUCCCGGGCCAUCUCGCCCUGCCCACUGCCAACUCCACGUCCACCCACACAGCGCCUUUGACUUUCCCGAGGCUGACGUUCCACGGCCGGACGCCCCCGCACCUUCCCUGGCUCUGCAUGUGCCCCCAGCCGCCACUGGGCUUCCCCUCCAGACCCUGUCCUCCACGGCUCAGCCUCUGCCUGGGGCUGGAGCCUCGCGCCCCCUCGCCGGGCCCUCCGGUCUCCUGGGCUUGUCUCAGCCUCCAGCCAGUGCGGAGUCUCCCUCUCCCCUUCUUGGCCUCAGGUCUCUGGACAGAAGAGACUUGGCCACUCCUUUCCCUUAACAGCUGGGGCCACGCAGAGCAGGCUGCGGGGGAUUUUCCACAGAAAAGGGGUGGUGAAGCGGGAUGCACUCAUGGGGACACCGAGUGGCUCCGUGCCCAGGGGCUGCUCCAGGAAGCUCGCCCACGGCUCUGGCUAUCUCGGAAGGCUCCCAGGGGACAGCAUCCAAUCUGGGCCUGGAGUUGCGGCCAAAGAAGAGGAGGGGAAGGCGCGCCCCGCAGGUCCCCCCAGGGGUGGCAGCUCAAAGUUGGUGGAAAGGAGGGGGGCAUCCGUUUCCAAAUCUUGUCUGAUCCACACUUUGCCUCUUUCCCCUCCUUACCCUGUAGCAACGGCCUUUGUCCAAAGGGACAGGCAUUUUACUUAUGGAGUAUUUAUUUUAUUUUAGUAGGCUCCAUGCCCCGUGCGGGGCUUGAACUCAUGACGCUGAGAUCAAGAGGUGGACGCUUAACCCGCCGAGCCACCCAGACGCCCCUGCGCCUGGAGUGUUCCGCGUCACGUGGGCUCAUGCCUCCAGCAUGGCCCACGGCCCACUGUCUGUGGGACGCAGCCCAGGUGACUCACCAGCCACACCUGUUCUGCCCCAGUGCAUCUUCCCGAGGUAACGUGGGCGUGCCUUCCCUUCAGCGGAACAUAAAGAAGUUCUUGUUCAGGAUUUGGGAGACUGCUUGGCCCCACCACGCCAGGAAUCUGUCUCCUGAGAUUCCGACCCCAGCUAAGCUGACCUCUGCCAUUCAUUUCCCCUAUGCCGACUUCUCCCUUUGCCACUGCCGAGAGCAACCCCCACCCCCACCCCUGUCCCCACCUCUGAUCUUAGGAAUUCAGCUCAUGAUAGAGUGA